rnacentral:rRNA from 1 species
AUUGAACGCUGGCGGCAUGCCUUACACAUGCAAGUCGAACGGCAGCACGGGAGCUUGCUCCUGGUGGCGAGUGGCGAACGGGUGAGUAAUACAUCGGAACGUACCCAGUAGUGGGGGAUAACGCACCGAAAGGUGCGCUAAUACCGCAUACGACCUACGGGUGAAAGCGGGGGACCGUAAGGCCUCGCGCUAUUGGAGCGGCCGAUGUCUGAUUAGCUAGUUGGCGGGGUAAUAGCCCACCAAGGCGACGAUCAGUAGCUGGUCUGAGAGGACGAUCAGCCACACUGGGACUGAGACACGGCCCAGACUCCUACGGGAGGCAGCAGUGGGGAAUUUUGGACAAUGGGGGCAACCCUGAUCCAGCAAUGCCGCGUGUGCGAAAAAGGCCUUCGGGUUGUAAAGCACUUUUGUCAGGGAAGAAAUCUUUCAGGCUAAUACCCUUGGAAGGAUGACGGUACCUGAAGAAUAAGCACCGGCUAACUACGUGCCAGCAGCCGCGGUAA